rnacentral:rRNA from 1 species
UACGAAGGGGGCUAGCGUUGCUCGGAUUGACUGGGCGUAAAGGGCGCGUAGGCGGCCAACUAAGUCAGACGUGAAAUCCCUCGGCUCAACCGGGGAACUGCGUCUGAUACUGGAUGGCUUGAAUUCGGGAGAGGGAUGCGGAAUUCCAGGUGUAGCGGUGAAAUGCGUAGAUAUCUGGAGGAACACCGGUGGCGAAGGCGGCAUCCUGGACCGAGAUUGACGCUGAUGCGCGAAAAGCCAGGGGAGCAAACGGG